UUAUGCCAAUUUCUAUAUAAAUUUCAUUGAUUCCCUCAUUCAAUACUGUUCAUUAGCCCCCCAGAACUGUUCCAAAUUCUCUAUAUAUGUACAAUGGGAGAAACUGUUAAUCAUUUCCCUAUAUCCAUUAUUCUUAUUUUCUUUUUAAGGAGUGAAAUACAUCACCGCUUUCCGUGCUCCCGCCGCCAUUGAAAUUGUGUUUGGCAUCUGACCACCAAGAUAGAGAUAUUUCCUAGACUGUUUUGCAGCUAGGUACUUACAUUUCUCUUUCCUCUGGCGAAAAAUAUCUGCUUUGUUUAAAAUAAAUGUUCCAUCCAUGCAGCUAAGCAGCUAAGGACACGAACAGCCACUGAUACAGGCCAACUCAUCAGUAGAUUAUUGAGAAUCAUUCUCUUCAGUCAGAUCACGAUUUGAGUUUGAACCAACCAGAGAGUAGCAGAAGGAACGUUUUCUCAUUUCCAUGUCCAGAAAGAUAUAUUCCUGCUACCCUCCUGAAGUCAGAGGAUGAAAUCAUAGUCAAUACAUCAUUUCAUACUAGGACCUUUCAGUGGCUGAACAAAGACAAAGACAGAAAUCAAGGAAGGUCAAAGAAGCAGUCAAUUUUCUGGCACCCAAAGUUGUUGGAGAAGGGUACAGAGUCGGUAAAUAAGCCAUAUGACAGACAGGCAGUAUUUUCUUAUUUUAAUAACAAGUUUAAAAAUCCCACUUCUUGUACUUACCUUCUGUCUGAUGUCAUCAGUAUUUUAAGAUGCCAACUGGGAACAAGUUCAACACUGCAUUACUGAAGAAUCCAGAUUAUCUACAUCUCACGUGCCAAAUGAAAGAAAGAACCCAGAAAAUAAAACAAUAUGAUGAUAA
rnacentral:lncRNA from 1 species